GAUGAACGCUGGCUACAGGCUUAACACAUGCAAGUCGAGGGGAAACGCCGGGGAAGCUUGCUUCCCCGGGCGUCGACCGGCGCACGGGUGAGUAACGCGUAUCCAACCUGCCUCUGACUGAGGGAUAACCCGUCGAAAGUCGGCCUAAUACCUCAUGGCAUCGUCUGCGGGCAUCCAACGACGAUUAAAGAUUUCAUCGGUCAGGGAUGGGGAUGCGUCUGAUUAGCUAGUUGGGGGGGUAACGGCCCACCAAGGCGACGAUCAGUAGGGGUUCUGAGAGGAAGGGCCCCCACAUUGGAACUGAGACACGGGGCAAACUCCUACGGGAGGCAGCAGUGAGGAAGAUAGGUGAGGGGGCGAGAGCCUGAACCAGCCAAGUAGCGUGCAGGAUGACGGCCCUAUGGGUGGUGAACUGCUUGUAUGCGGGGAUAAAGUGAGGGACGUGUCCUUCAUUGCAGGUACCGCAUGAAUAAGGACCGGCUAAUUCCGUG
rnacentral:rRNA from 1 species